ACACGUAGGUGGCGAGCGUUGUCCGGAAUUACUGGGUGUAAAGGGCGUGUAGGCGGGAGAGCAAGUCAGAUGUGAAAGCCCAAGGCUCAACUUUGGGACUGCAUCUGAAACUGUUCUUCUUGAGUACUGGAGAGGGAAGCGGAAUUCCUAGUGUAGCGGUGAAGUGCGUAGAGAUUAGGAGGAACACCAGUGGCGAAGGCGGCUUCCUGGAUAGAGACUGACGCUGAGGCGCGAAAGCGUGGGGAGCGAACAGGAUUAGAUACCCUGGUAGUCCACGCCGUAAACGAUGGAUACUAGGUGUAGGAGGUAUCGACACCUUCUGUGCCGGAGUUAACACAAUAAGUAUCCCACCUGGGGAGUACGGCCGCAAGGCUGAA
rnacentral:rRNA from 1 species